CUACAUCGACGACCCCGCGAACCCGUCGUACGCGUUGAUGCUCCAGCUGAGAGAGGUUUUGGUCGAGAAGGCGCUGGAGGGAACAGAGGAAGGCAUGGCGGCGUUCAAGCGGAUCCCCAAGUUCCAGGAGGAGCUGGGUAGCGCACUGAAUGAGGAGAUCGCCAAGGCGAGGGAGAGGUUUGGGAGAGGAGACUUCAUUGUGGGGAGUAGGAUAAAGAAGUGCAGGACUUACCCGGUGUACAACUUCGUGAGGGAGGAGGUGGGCACGGAGCUGCUGACAGGGGAGAAGAAGGUGAGUCCCGGGGAGUACAUAGAGAAGGUUUAUGAGGCGAUGGAGGAAGGGAAGAUCGGAGAGGUGGUGGUGAAGUGCG
rnacentral:lncRNA from 1 species